rnacentral:lncRNA from 1 species
GAGAGGAGUCCCGGGGAGGGCCAGUACUGAGUGCAGCAGAAGCCAGAGGCCUCCACCAGGCCAGUGAUUCACUGUAAUGAACAUUCGUAAGGAAAGCUGUGCGGACUCAUGGGUGUGCUGUGGGACUCACGGUGACACACGGGGGCUUUUAUGCACAGAGAUGUUUUCAUUUUUAUUUGUAUUUUUUGUUUUCUUUGGCAGGGACAGAUUGCUAGAGCAGAGAGUGGGUAUGGAGGGCUGGAGAGAAGAAUGGGAUUGGGGUGCAUGAUGAAGAAUUCACAAAGAAUCAAAAGGGGUUGGGGAUUUAGCUCAGUGGUAGAGCGCUUGCCUAGCAACCUCAAGGCCCUGGGUUCAGUCCCCAGCUCCGAAAAGAAGAAAAAAAAAAAAAAAAAAAGAAAGAAAAAAAAAAAGAAAGGUGCAUCACAAAGAAUCAAAAACCUAAAAAGAAAGGAAAAGUGAAUAGUUGCAUAGUGAAACAGAUUAACUUUAUUUAUAAUUUCAUAGCUAGCUUUUUUUAAAUAACAGGAGCAGUUAGAACUUAUUUAUUUAUUAAAUACUUUUGGCAUAAGAUUUCAAUAUUCAUAGAAAAAUCCUGUCAUACCAGUACUAGGAUAGGCCAAAGGACCACAUGCUCUGAGCCAGUCUAGGUGUGUAAACACAAAGGUGUGUGUGUGUUUGUGUGAGAGAGGACCGAGAAAUUCUAUCACAUCCAAUACAAUAUAAUUUUGUUAGCUGCUAUAAAACAUGGUUAAUUUACUUCUGUGUACUUUCGAGUAACCAAAUAAUAUAGUCUUUAUCUGUAUUUAAGAAUAGUAGUCAAGCCCCACCCCCUGAGGUUUGGGGAUCUGUUCCAAAGAGGAGGCAGAAAGACCGUAAGAGUCAGAGGUUGUGGAUGACUCCAAGGAGCAGCAGCAUCCAGACACAACAGGACCCAUGCACAGUGGACGCACAGAGACUCAAACCAGAGUCCCAGCACUGAGAAAGGGGUUAGGAAGUUGUGGCCCAUGAGCACAUGGGAACCAGGAAUGUUCAACACUCAGGUCUGCCUCUUCGAGGGGAGAGACAUAUGACCUGCUUCUGCCCAGAAGGCAGGAACAAUGUGAGUCAUAGCUGGUGGUGUCCACACUAUCUGUAUGGCCAGGCCAUGCCGCCUCCCUCAGACUCAUGUUUAUCUCUGUCAGUCGGCAGUCUGUCUUCCCUGCCACCGUCAUGGGGACCACUUUUACCCUGAGCCUGCUUCCUCAGUUAAUCCAGGGAACCUGUCUGUGGGGAAGAUGUUGCUUGUACUCUACGAGAGUCUCCAUAUGGCCAUCUCUUAGGCUUUGUACACACAGGACUGAUUAAUCACCACCAGAAACUAUUCUGACAUUGUGCUGUGCUUAAGUAUGCCUAAAAUAAACCACCCGGUGUCAGACUCCAAAAGUUUGAACAAAAACUGUCCACUGAGUCUUGUUGAGUCGGACGUCCUUCCUGCCUUUCUUGGACCAACACCCUGUGGUUGAGGUGUUUGCAGAGACCCCCACAGAGAGGGACUUCGACUAAGAAGGCUGGUGCAAUAGAGCUGCUGAGAAAGGGAAAGCAGUUUUCUCCGGCAGAGUCUUGCUGGGCACGUCCACUGUGCGCCAGGGUAGGCCUCACGCCCAGGAGGAGUUGGCUAACAUAAAAUGGACUCUGUAUGUGUGUCUUUUUAUUGAUUUUCUUUUUUUCUUUUUUCUUUUUUGGUUUGUUUGUUUGCUUUGCUUAUCAACUUUUUGCUUUUCUGAGGGAGAGA